AAGAGACAGCAGCAGCCACGGGAAUACGUAGGGUGCAAGCGUUAAUCGGAAUUACUGGGCGUAAAGCGUGCGCAGGCGGUUAUAUAAGUCAGAUGUGAAAUCCCCGGGCUCAACCUGGGAACUGCAUUUGAGACUGUAUGGCUAGAGUGUGUCAGAGGAGGGUAGAAUUCCACGUGUAGCAGUGAAAUGCGUAGAUAUGUGGAGGAAUACCGAUGGCGAAGGCAGCCCCCUGGGAUAACACUGACGCUCAUGCACGAAAGCGUGGGGAGCAAACAGGAUUAGAUACCCCUGUAGUCCCUGUCUCUUAUAC
rnacentral:rRNA from 1 species